CGGACGGGUGAGUAAUGUAUGGGGAUCUGCCUGAUGGCGGGGGAUAACUACUGGAAACGGUAGCUAAUACCGCAUAAUGUCUACGGACCAAAGCGGGGGACCUCCGGGCCUCGCGCCAUCAGAUGAACCCAUAUGGGAUUAGCUAGUAGGUAAGGUAACGGCUUACCUAGGCGGCGAUCCCUAGCUGGUCUGAGAGGAUGAUCAGCCACACUGGGACUGAGACACGGCCCAG
rnacentral:rRNA from 1 species